AAUGAACGUUGGCGGCGUGGAUUAGGCAUGCAAGUCGAGCGUGCGAAGGUUGGUGCUUGCAUUGACCUUCAAAAGCGGCGAAAGGGAGAGUAACGCGUAGGGUACCUGCCCCCGGGACUGGGAUAGCGGUGGGAAACUGCCGGUAAUACCAGAUAAUGUCCCUGGACCAAAGGUGUGAUUCCGCCUGGGGAUGGUCCUGCGUCCUAUUAGUUAGUUGGUAGGGUAACGGCCUACCAAGACGUUGAUGGGUAGCGGGCGUGAGAGCGUGGCCCGUCUCACUGGGACUGAGACACUGCCCAGACACCUACGGGUGGCUGCAGUCGAGAAUCUUCCGCAAUGGGCGCAAGCCUGACGGAGCGACGCCGCGUGCGGGAUGAAGGCCUUCGGGUUGUAAACCGCUGUCAGUGGGGUGGAAAUCGGUUGGGGUUCUCCCCUUCCGUUGACCUAACCGCAGAGGAAGUCCGGGCUAAGUACGUGCCAGCAGCCGCGGUAAUAC
rnacentral:rRNA from 1 species